GAGGGCCAAGCUGACAGGACAGUGAUUAGUCUUCAGGGAGCAAAGGCAAAGAUACUGCCGGUGAGCCUGGGGCCGGAGAAGCUGGCCUGAGGCCCAGUCCGGUGGGCUGGAGCAAUGAUUUCAGAGGCCUGGAAUCUGAGGAUUUCCAGUCAUAGGGUCUAGGAGAGGAGGUGUUGGAGGUCAGGGAGUGGGGCGGGCCCGCAAAUCACAUUUCUGAGGUCCUGAAUCUGCUGUGCCUUACGCUGUGCAUUACCAUGCUGACGCCUCCUGCAGACUAGAACACCAGAGGUUUACUCCCCAGAGAGGCUGAAUGUGCCUGGAUGAGGCUGGAGGAGUCAGCCUCAGCUGAAGAAAAGGAUGCAUCACAUGAACAGGAGAAUCAUGUGAUAAUCUACAUACUGAACAGAGAGACCUCCUCCAUCCUCUUCCCUCACUCAGUUUCAAAAAUACUGGCAAGGUGAUACUAUAUCACCUCCCUUCCCCUGCAAGAGGUCAGAGGCUUUCUCCCUGGGGAAUCUGAUAUUUGGAU